GAUGAACGCUGGCGGCGUGCCUAAUACAUGCAAGUCGAGCGAACAGACGAGGAGCUUGCUCCUCUGACGUUAGCGGCGGACGGGUGAGUAACACGUGGAUAACCUACCUAUAAGACUGGGAUAACUUCGGGAAACCGGAGCUAAUACCGGAUAAUAUAUUGAACCGCAUGGUUCAAUAGUGAAAGACGGUUUUGCUGUCACUUAUAGAUGGAUCCGCGCCGCAUUAGCUAGUUGGUAAGGUAACGGCUUACCAAGGCAACGAUGCGUAGCCGACCUGAGAGAGUGAUAGGCCACACGAGAACUGAGCCACGGUCAAGACUACUACGGGAGGCAGCAGUAGGGUAUCGGACGCAGUGGGCGGAAGCAUGGCGGAGCAACGCCGAGUGAGUGAUGAAGGUCUUCGGAUCGUAAAGCUCUGUUAUUAGGGAAGAACCAAUGUGUAAGUAAAUAUGCACGUCUUGACGGUAACUAGUAAGAAAGCAACGGCUAACUACGUG
rnacentral:rRNA from 1 species